UGUGACCUCAAAUCAGGUAGGACUACCCGCUGAACUUAAGCAUAUCAAUAAGCGGAGGAAAAGAAACUAACAAGGAUUCCCCUAGUAACUGCGAGUGAAGCGGGAAAAGCUCAAAUUUAAAAUCUGGCAGUCUUUUUGGCUGUCCGAGUUGUAAUCUAGAGAAGUGUUAUCCGCGCUGGACCGU
rnacentral:rRNA from 1 species